rnacentral:lncRNA from 1 species
UGCUGUUUUAGGGCAGGCCUCCUGAGGCUAGAGCCAAGAAUGGGAAAUCUAAGGCCUGCUCUGGGGGAGGGAGGGAAGGAGGCCUCAGGCAGGGGGAGCCAGCGAUGGAAACUCAGCCCGCACGACGUGUCCUAGUCUUAGGAAUGAGUGACUCUCAGACCGCUCGCUGCCGUCUUCUGGGCAGACAAGCCUGGAUGCUCCGUUCUUCCUGGGGCAGUGUAUUUCCUCCUGGUACCUUGACUAAGCCGAAGCUGGGAAAUCAGCAGGGAGGGAAGGCUCCGGGACCGCCGGCCUGUGGGGUGGCAAGCAUGGACAAGCGCAGCCCUUCCCUCUCCUUGAGCUGGAGGACGAAAAGAAGUCAGGGUUCUGAAUGCUAAGACUUUGGGCUCUUCAGUUAACACUGUCGCUGCUGUUAUUCAUAGCAAUAUUCAGGCUCAGCCUCAGGAGAAGAUUGCAAACCCAGGAUUUAAAAAAUAAAAAUAAAAUAAGAAACAGAG